CCAGACUCCUACGGGAGGCAGCAGUGGGGGAUAUUGCACAAUGGGGGGAACCCUGAUGCAGCGACGCCGCGUGGGUGAGGAAGUACCCCGGUAUGUAAAGCCCUUUCGGCAGGGAAGAAAAUGACGGUACCUGGCGAAGAAGCCCCGGCUAACUACGUGCCAGCAGCCGCGGUAAUACGUAGGGGGCGAGCGUUAUCCGGAUUCACUGGGUGUAAAGGGAGCGUAGACGGCCAUGCAAGCCAGGGGUGAAAGCCCGGGGCCCAACCCCGGGACUGCCCUUGGAACUGCAUGGCUGGAGUGCGGGAGGGGCAGGCGGAAUUCCUGGUGUAGCGGUGAAAUGCGUAGAUAUCAGGAGGAACACCGGCGGCGAAGGCGGCCUGCUGGACCGCGACUGACGUUGAGGCUCGAAAGCGUGGGGAGCGAACAGGAUUAGAUACCCUAGUA
rnacentral:rRNA from 1 species